AAAAACUGUUUUUUAUCAUUAUUCUUUCAACAUUUAUUCUUGUCCAGUUACUACUAUUCAUCACUACGCAAUACAACACGAACCUUCUUUUCAAGAUUCUUUCAUUUGUCUUGCCUAUUCUUUUCGGCACUGUAAAGUAUUGCUUUUUUAUUAUACGAGCGAACAGUGUGAAGCAAAUGCUGGAGCGGCACCGAGACAACUGGAAAUUUUUUAAAGAUAAACUG